GAUGAACGCUGGCGGCGUGCUUAACACAUGCAAGUCGAACGAGAAAUGUAGACGGAAACCUUCGGGCGGAAGCCUUCAUUUCGAGUGGCGGACGGGUGAGUAACGCGUGGGUAACCUGCCUCAUACAGGGGGAUAACAGUUGGAAACGACUGUUAAUACCGCAUAAGACCACAGCAUCGCAUGAUGCGGGGGUAAAAACUCCGGUGGUAUGAGAUGGACCCGCGUUCGAUUAGCCAGUUGGCGGGGUAACGGCCCACCAAAGCGACGAUCGAUAGCCGAUCUGAGAGGAUGACCGGCGACAUUGGGACUGAGACACGGCCCAAACUCCUACGGGAGGCAGCAGUGGGGAAUAUUGCACAAUGGGGGAAACCCUGAUGCAGCGACGCCGCGUGAGUGAAGAAGUACUUCGGUAUGUAAAGCUCUAUCAGCAGGGAAGAAAAUGACGGUACCUGAGUAAGAAGCCCCGGCUAACUACGUG
rnacentral:rRNA from 1 species